rnacentral:rRNA from 1 species
UACGUAGGGGGGCAAGCGUUGUCCGGAUUUAUUGGGCGUAAAGAGCGUGUAGGCGGCCAGACAGGUCCGUUGUGAAAACUCGAGGCUCAACCUCGAGAUGUCGAUGGAAACCGUCUGGCUAGAGUCCGGAAGAGGAGUGUGGAAUUCCUGGUGUAGCGGUGAAAUGCGCAGAUAUCAGGAAGAACACCUAUGGCGAAGGCAGCACUCUGGGACGGUACUGACGCUGAGACGCGAAAAGCGUGGGGAGCGAACAGG